CCUACGGGAGGCUGCAGUGAGGAAUAUUGGUCAAUGGACGAGAGUCUGAACCAGCCAAGUAGCGUGAAGGAUGACUGCCCUAGGGGUUGUAAACUUCUUUUAUAUGGGAGUAAAAUGUUCCACGUGUGGGAUUUUGUAUGUACCAUAAGAAUAAGGAUCGGCUAACUCCGGGCCAGCAGCCGCCGUAAUACGGAGGAUCCGAGCGUUAACCGGAUUUAUUGGGUUUAAAGGGAGCGUAGGUGGAUUGUUAAGUCAAUUGUGAAAGUUUGGGGCUCAACCCUAAAAUUGCAGUUGAAACUGGCAGUCUGGAGUACAGUAGAGGUGGGCGGAAUUCGUGGUGUAGCGGUGAAAUGCUUAGAUAUCACGAAGAACGCCGAUUGCGAAGGCAGCUUACUGGACUGAAACUGACGUUGAGGCUCGAAAGUGUGGGGAUCAAACAGGAUUAGAUACCCGGGUAGUC
rnacentral:rRNA from 1 species